AUGUCCCUGCAUUUAGGCAAGGAAGUGUUCGAUAUCUACAAAGCCCCCCUGCAGGACAAUCUAAACCAACUGUUUAUACGGGAAGACACUGGGCUCCGAGGACAGGCCAUCUUUAAAUCCAAACUUACCUUUAGACCUCACUGUACAGACGGUGCCACAUAUAAAAAGAUGACCCUUUCAUUUGGGACCAGAAGUUCAAAGACACAGAUUAGAAUCCUCCCGAUGGCUGGUCGAGAUCCUGAAUGGCCAUGCCCAGAUUUGAUCAAGGUAUAGUGCCUCAGCCUUAAGUUGGAACAAUUUGUACAUUUAGGGCUGAUUUCCUGAAGUGUAAAAGACUAUUACUCCCUCCUCCAUGUGUGUGUGUGUGUGUGUGUGUGUGUGUGUGUGUGUGUGUGAGAGAGAGAGAGAGAGAGAGAGAGAUGUGUAGACGUGUGCAUCCAUAAUGAGUGCAGAGGACAAUUUUCAGGAGUUUGUUAUUUCCUUCAUUGUGGGCCCUGGGGGUUGAAUUCAGGUGGUCAGACUAAUGCAGCAAGUUUUGACCCAUGGAGACGUCUUGAUGGCCUAUUAUUAUGUCUGUUAUCAUUAUCAUUAUUGUUAUUAUUGUUGCUAUUUUAAUUGUUGCAAUUACUGGGGAGCCAGCUUGCUCUCCUGCCUAUAGUCACCACUAGCAAUGACUGCAGUGGGAUUACAGAUAACUUCACUCUCAUCUCCAGGUGACUCCACAGAAAACGUAACGUUAGAAAACUGCCUUAGAAAAAAGUACAGCCAAGUUCAGUAGGAGAGUGUUUUCCCUUGAAUGCAGACAGCCUUGGAUUUGAUUCCUGGUGCCACAAGAAGUAAAAGGAAAUAAAAUAGGAAGGAAAUAAAAAAGAGAGGACUAUAGAACCCUCGGCCCUGUUACGCUGGCUCGGCUCUUUUAGCUCCUGAGUGUGGCAGGCCGGGCAGGUCUAAGAAGAUGGCCGCCUCCUCAGCCUGCUGUGGAAGCUGGGAUGUAGUAUUUGCAUUGAAGGCUACACCAGGAAUGUCUGGGAGGCAUGGGAGCCUGGUCCAGCCUCAGCAGCCAGGCGUCUGCCACUUAGGGGUGAAGCACAGGCAGCUUUUACUGCCCCAGACGGUCACAUCAGAAGGGGCUUCUCAGGCUGCCACUUCUGAGCUGUGUGACAUCAUCAGAUGUACACAGCUCCCAGGUGCACACACACACACACACA
rnacentral:lncRNA from 1 species